CGCUGUGAUUGUGCUUUCAGUCUGACAGCAAAAGUGGAAAAGACCAGCAAAAAGCAAAGUCUGAUUUUCCUGUAAUAGUUGCGGUUUCUGUGGGUUUGCUCCUGCUGGCUCUGGUUAUAGUGUUAAUCUUAUUCAAACUGAAACACAACAAACAUGGCUUCAUUUCCUCAACCGACAGAAGACAGACAGGGGAUCAUGAAACGACUCAAGAAGACAUUCAAGACGCCAGAGACCAUUCAGAUCCUGAAUCAAAUCAUCUCUAUUCGACAGUCCAGUUACCCACAAACCCCUCUGAUUCAGAGAAUCCACUUUACUCCACAGUACAGUCACCCACAAUCCCCUCUGAUGGGCUCCUGUACGCUGCUGUCAGUUUCCAGAAGCAUGAAGAGUCUUUCAGUGACGCUACAGUCAGAUUCAGUAAAGAGGAGAUUCACUGUGAUUACGCAUCUGUCAAUCGCAACAUCUCGCCAAAUUAAUAUCACCACUGGAUUUUUGUUUUUAUAUACAACUUGAAUGGUGUCGGUCACUGAGAAAAAUGACUGAAUGAGUUAUUGAGCAGUCAGCGACACCUACAGGUCAGUGUUGGGAAAAACCUGAAAUGUUUCUCUGUGACUGAAGAAAACAUCACCCCCUUACCCCUUGUUUACACUAUACACGUCUGCGGCGUGUUACGGCUCCAACAAGGUUUUGUUUCGUCCUUCACGCAGUGCCAACACACACCAGGAGCAUU